UUUCCCUCCCCUCUCUCUCAUGUUUCUCUUACCCCACGAUCUCAAAAGUCCAAACCUCACAUCUCUCGAGUAAACGAAAAACCUAGCUCAGUCACAACUAUACCACCUUUACUUCUGGAACGAACCCAGAAGAAUCCUCGAGUUUCCGCCUCCUCACUGAUUCCUUAUCCAUCUCUCUCUGUAUCCUCCGUCACCGGUUCUUCAUGGAAGUUGGAAAACCUAAACUCCAUUUCCGCUGCUUCUAGGUCAUGAAAGUUGUUCUUUGUUUGUUUAGGGUUUAUAACGUGGAACUUGAAACCCAGAUGAUAUAAGUCUUAUUAUCGAUUUCUUUCUCUUGUUAUUUCCUUACAUCACCAGAUUUGGUUUGAUUGAGUCUGUAUUGCGUUCAAUUUGGAAGUCACUGUGUUUCUUCAGCGUAAAUCGACAAAGUACAAAAUUGAUUUGGGGAUCGGUCAAUCUUCGUUGAAUAUAGAAAUUGUUAGGGCAUCGAUUCUUCAAUUCUACUAACAAGUUAGAAAUCAGUCACAAGAACCGCAACCACCUCAGACAAUUGGUGGUGGGGUUGGUUAUGCUAAUACCAUUAACCAAAUCUUCUGCUCCUCUUGUUCUUACAGAAGUAAUUGAAGUUCAGGUCUACUUGUGAAUCUGAAUAUUAGCCCUUUUUAAGGUUUUAGAUGAAGGAAAGCCUGGUUGCACUCUCUUGAUGGAAAGAGCUUCAGAGCUGCAGUUCUGUUGGAAAUUGGCAUGUUGUUGUUGCAACACCAUUACUGGUUGCCUUUGAACUUCUCCAUUAUGUAUAUCUGGAGGGCAUCUAUGUGAAAAGGCAUGCACUAAUAGGAUGACCUUCCCAUGGUCCUAUUCAUUUUAAGGCUCCUGCUAGGAUCCUUUGGAGUACUUUCCCUAGGUUUAAUGAACUUGUUUCUGACAUGUAAUGCUACUUGAAGUGACCUUCAUAUUCACAAGCGCUGAGUCCCUACUUCCCUAAGAAAGCCUCCUACAUUGAUUAUAUUGUUUGGAUAAAUCUGUUUUUUUUUUUUUUUUUAAUUUAUGGUUAAACAAAUUGAGUUUAUGUAUUUGUGUUAGAUCUUAUAAAUCAUUUCAGUGCUACAGAUACUGCGACCAACUGUUACACAUUCAGAUAAGCAAGAUGGGAAACUGAAGGAUGAGGAUAGGAAACUAUGUUGCAUACUUGUUUUAUUAAGCAAAUAAAAUUUGUUGAUUGCUGAUGCUGACAGUAGUUUAUUGGUUGUUUUGUUGAUGUUAGGUAAUCAAGAAGGGGAAUUUGUAUAAGUGCUUAUGUCAUGUUGAUGUUAGGUAACAAGAAUUCAAGGAGGAAAUCAAGAAGGGGAAUUUGUUGAGGUUAGCCUGGGUUGGGUAUUGUUCAAAUCCACUGUCCAGAAGAUGUGCUAGAUGUGCUGUGCUAUUAUACUGUUCAAAUCACCACCGUUUAUGAUGGCUGCUAUUGGUGCUUAUGUCAUGUUUUCAGAUUUAUUUUUAUGCUUCCAGGUUUAUAUGUACACACACAAGAGUCAAUUUGUUUUGUAACAUUUGAUUUGAUUAAAUCUUAUUUGAAAUGUGUUGUUGAAUUCUCUUUUUAUUCCGUUGAAACUAUGUAUUUAUAAAUAAAUUUGUUAUUUUGUUAA